UGUAAGUGCCACCUAACCUUAUGAUUCACUCAAAAAUUUUAUGACUCACCUUGAAGCAAUUUCUACCUAAAGUCCGAAUCUGGACAAAGCAAAAACCCAUCACUUUUCCAUAUUAACCUUCUUCUUCAAAGUAAAGUAGUAAAUUUCAUUUCUUCUUAUGCAUAAAACCAGCCCAAAAUCUGAAAUUUAAUCUACUUUUCUGGCAUAAAUUCAAAGACCAUCAAGAAUUAAGUAGUAUGUGUUUAUAUUGAAAACCCCCAAUUUCAAGUUAGGGUUAUGAGAAGCUAAUUAGGAGUUGUUUUUGAAAAUAGAUAAUUCUGGGAUUGAAGAAAUCAAGUAGAUCAUCAUCUCCAUCUCUUUUUGGAUUAGAAUAUUAAGAAGUUGCCAUUUUGAGAAAGUCAUUGAAGAACUAGCAAUUGAAGUGGAUCUUUGGUUUUGAAGUUUUAUGUGAUUGUGUGGAAAUUUAACUUGCUCAAAGAUUCCGGGACCGUACAAGCCUGUUACAUGAAAUGCACCAAAACCAAAACAAGCCACCCCCGAAAGAAAUAAAUGAAUUCCAAAAAUCUUAGGCAAAUCCAAAGAAGGUUUUCCUGUACGUUCAUCACAAAAUAUUUUUAGAUCCCAAUACACCCAAUGCCAAAUAACUGCCAAAAAGCACAAGCCAGAAAACACAAUAUGCGCGCCAGCCACACCUUCGUAACUCCAAAUACCGGGAUUCAUUAUAGUCCCCCCUGUAAUACUCCAACCGCCCCAUGAAUUGGUUAUUCCUAAACGGGUCAUGAAAGGUAUAACGAACAUACCCUGUCUCCACAUUGGAUCAAGAAUGGGGUCAGAGGGAUCAAAAACUGCUAAUUCAUAUAGAGCCAUCGAACCAGCCCAACCAGCAACCAAAGCUGUAUGCAUGAUAUGGACAGAAAUCAACCGACCAGGAUCAUUCAAUACGACGGUAUGAACACGAUACCAAGGCAAACCCAUGGAAAUACCCCUUAUAUCAAAGAAAAAUGACACUGUAACUUUAUUGCAUUGGAAAAGACUAUAACUAUGCAAUGGAUCCCUUUUGUUCAAUCGAUUAUCUAGCAACAAGGGUUAAUGUUUCUUCUAUUCGGUUGGUAAUAAUAGAACAAUUAUGUUUGUAGGUACAAAGAGAAACAAAUCUAUUUUUUACCCUAUAAGUAGCAAUACGCAAUGGGGAGUUGAUACCAUCUUCUAUCAGUAAAUGCUUUCAUACUUGUUCAUUAUUGGAAGGCUAUAUUGGUAAGAAUUUUUUCUUAAACUAAACCUUUCUAAUAUAUGCAGAAAACAGAAUUAAUAAGUGAUAUUAUAAAAAAAAUAACCUUCAUUAUUACGUUUCCACAUCAAAGUGAAAUAGAAUACUUAAUUAUUUUUUCUUUCAUUUAAUGCCUAUUGAUGUUCCAAAAGUUCCCUUUCGAGGUCUUGGAGAGGACGAUGCAUCUUGGGUUGACGUAUAGUGCGACUUGUCAGAUAUAUUGGGUCAUAUGGGAUUUCCCCAUUAUCUCUCCCGAUUGAGAUAUCCUCCAUUUCGCCCAAGAAAGAUUGAUUAAAUCAUCCAAAAUUUGGAGCGUGAAAUGCAAUUCGAUCCGUUUUUUAGUUUUAGGGGGAUUCAGGUUAAUAAUUCUCACUUAGAAUAAUUUAUGGUUGGCUCGGUUGGACCAAUAAAAUGAAGUAUCCAGGCUCCGUUUAUAAAAACCCCAAUCCCAAUCGGGAAUAUAUUAAAAAUUACUGCUUGUAUUAUAUAGGUUAUUUACUUUAACUCUUAAUUUUUUCGAUUUGAAAUUAAAAAUAGCGCUCUCAACUUUAAUGAUUUGAAUGAAAGUAAUUAAUCUGUUGAAUAUGGAAAUUCACGAAAGAAAAGAUAUGAAGUAAAUAAAAAAGGGGAAUUUUAACAAAAAAAAAAUAAAAACAAGCGGUAAUGGAAACAUUUGUUCUAUAUGGUCAAAUCGAAAUCGGGCAGAUCGUUACCCGGAGUAGAGCAUAAACCAAACAAUUUCAAGAGACCCAUUCAAGAACAAGAAAAUGACAUCGUGAUUUGAGUUGAAUCUCGAUGAUAUGAUACAUCAAUGAAAAGUAAGUUUACUUUAUCCCACGCUAAUCGUUUACCCGUAACUAUUCAAUAUCCGUAUGAAAAAUUGAUCACAUCUGAGCGUUUCGUGGUCGAAUUCAUUUUGAAUUUGAUAAAUGCAUUGCUUGUGAAGUAUGUGUUCGUGCAUGUCCUAUAGAUUUACCCGUUGUUGAUUGGAAAUUGGAAACGGAUCUUCGAAAGAAACGGUUGCUUAAUUAUAGCAUUGAUUUCGGAAUUUGUAUUUGUUGUGGUAAUUGUGUUGAGUAUUGUCCAACAAAUUGUUUAUCAAUGACUGAAGAAUAUGAGCUUUCGACUUAUGAUCCUCACGAAUUAAAUUAUAAUCAAAUUUCGACUUAUGAUAUUGAUCAAUAACUGAUGAUUACACAAUUCGACCAAUUUUGAAUUCACCUCAACCAAAAGAGCAAUUCCGUGAUUGAAGAGCAAUUCUCAAUUAUUAAAUUUCUAUUUUUUUUCUUGUUCAAUAACUAUAAAUUUUGAUUAUUCAAUAAUCCUAUUUAUUGGUGAAAAUCGAAACUUUAUUUGGAUUUUAAAUAUGUUUACUGUAAUUGUAAUGGUUUUAAAUAGUUUUAGUUGCGAACUACCCAAACCAAUGCGAUAGGUUCAAUAACUUUACUUUACUCACAUCAAGUGAUACGCAUUAGGAUUUAAAAUCAAAAAUGCAACUUUUUUUUUCCUGUUCAAGUCAAUAAAAUCAUGAAACAUUCCGAUUUUUUUAUUUCUUAUUUCACAUAUAAUGGAUUUACCUGGACCAAUACACCAUUUUCUUUUAGUUUUUCUGGGGUCGGGCCUUAUAUUAGGUGGUCUAGGAGUAGUAUUAUUUACCAAUACAAUUUUUUCUGCUUUUUCGUUAGGAUUGGUUCUUGUUUGUAUAUCUUUAUUAUAUAUUCUAGCAAAUUCCCAUUUUGUAGCUUCUGCACAACUCCUUAUUUAUGUAGGAGCUAUAAAUAUAUUAAUAAUAUUUUCUGUAAUGUUCAUGAAUGGUCCGGAAUAUGACACAGAUUUCCGUCUGUGGACUGUGGGGGACGGGAUUACCUUAUUGGUUUGUGCAAGUCUUUUUGUUUCAUUAACUAUUACUAUUCUAAAUACGUCCUAGUAUGGGAUUAUUUGGACUACAAAAUCAAAUCAGAUUCUAGAACAAGAUCUGAUAAGCGCUAGUCAACAAAUAGGAAUUCAUUUAUCAACCGAUUUUUUUCUUCCAUUUGAACUCAUUUCAAUAAUUCUUUUAGUUGCUUUAAUAGGUGCAAUUGGCGUGGCUCGUCAAUAAUAAUUCAUUUGAUUUUUUAAAAUAGCAAUCAAAAAAAAUGAUAUUUUAUCAUAUUCAUUUUCAUUUUAGUCAAUCAAAUUGGUUUAAUU